rnacentral:misc_RNA from 1 species
UUUCCGUAGGUGAACCUGCGGAGGGAUCAUUAUCGAGUUUUGACUGGGUUGUAGCUUGCCUUCCGGUGCAUGUUCACGCCCUGCUCAUCCACUCUACACCUGUGCACUUACUGUGGGUAUCAGAUCGUGAAUCGUGCUCUUUGACCGGAGCUUGUGAAGCGUGUCUGUGCCUACGUUUAUCACAAACACUAUAAAGUAUCAGAAUGUGUCUUACGAUGUAACGCAUAUUUAUAAAACUUUCAGCAACGGAUCUCUUGGCUCUC